CAGAAAAUACCUCAUCCCUACUGUAAAACAUGGAGGUGGAUCUUUGAUGUUUGAAUGAAAAGCACGACUGUUGGUAUGACAUCCUACACUACUUGCUGGAGCUGGGGGAGGAUUUAAUGAAACAGGUAUGGAGGUUUCAAUUUCACGUCAUUAGAGAACUUGCUCCUGAACUGAGCAGGGUAGUUCAGUCCUCACAGAUCAGAAACAUCUCCCUCCUGACCAGAGUGACUGAGGAUGGAUCUUGUCAAGAGGAGCGUCAAGACGUCAUACUGCAGUGGGCUGAGGAACUGAAUCACUCACCACAGACUGGACAGGACAAUGACCCAACACACCUCAAGGCUGUGUAAGGGCUAUUUUACCAAGAAGGAGAGGGAUGUAGUGCUGCAUCAGAUGACCUAGCCUACACAAUCACCCGACCUCAACCAAAUUGAGAUGGUUUGGGAUGAGUUGGACUGCAGAGUGAAGGAAAAGCAGCCAACAAGUGCUCAGCAUAUGUGGGAACUCCUUCAAGCAUUCCAGGUGAAACUGGCUGAGAGAAUGCCAAGAGUGUGCAAAGUUGUCAUCAAGGCAAAGGGUGGCUACUGUGAAG
rnacentral:lncRNA from 1 species